CCUGGCGGCGAGCGGCGAACGGGUGAGGAAUGCAUCGGAACGUACCCCGGAGUGGGGGAUAACGCCGCGAAGGCGGCGCUAAUACCGCAUAUGCUCUGAGGAGGAAAGUGGGGGACCCUGAGGGAAACUGAGGGGCCUCACGCUCUGGGAGCGGCCGAUGUCCGAUUAGCUUGUUGGUGAGGUAAUGGCUUACCAAGGCGACGAUCGGUAGCUGGUCUGAGAGGAUGAUCAGCCACACUGGGACUGAGACACGGCCCAGACUCCUACGGGAGGCAGCAGUGGGGAAUUUUGGACAAUGGGGGCAACCCUGAUCCAGCCAUGCCGCGUGCGGGAAGAAGGCCUUCGGGUUGUAAACCGCUUUUAGUCGGGAAGAAAAGGCCACUCUUAAUACGGGUGGUUCUUGACGGUACCGGCGGAAUAAGCACCGGCUAACUACGUGCCAGCAGCCGCGGUAAUACGUAGGGUGCGAGCGUUAAUCGGAAUUACUGGGCGUAAAGCGUGCGCAGGCGGUUCGUUAAGUUCGAUGUGAAAGCCCCGGGCU
rnacentral:rRNA from 1 species